UACGUAGGGCGCAAGCGUUGUCCGGAAUUAUUGGGCGUAAAGAGCUCGUAGGCGGUUUGUCGCGUCUGCCGUGAAAACCCGAGGCUUAACCUCGUGGCUUGCGGUGGAUACGGGCAGACUAGAGGCAGGUAGGGGGAAGCGGAAUUCCCGGUGUAGUGGUGGAAUGCGUAGAUAUCAGGAGGAACACCGGUGGCGAAGGCGGGUCUCUGGGCCGAUAUUGACGCUGAGGAGCGAAAGCGUGGGGAGCAAACAGG
rnacentral:rRNA from 1 species